rnacentral:sRNA from 1 species
CUUGGUCAUUUAGAGGAAGUAAAAGUCGUAACAAGGUUUCCGUAGGUGAACCUGCGGAAGGAUCAUUAGUGAAUAUAGGACGUUCAACUUAACUUGGAGUCCGAACUCUCACUUUCUAACCCUGUGCACUUGUUUGGGAUAGUAACUCUCGCAAGAGAGCGAACUCCUAUUCACUCAUAAACACAAAGUCUAUGAAUGUAUUAAAUUUUAUAACAAAAUAAAACUUUCAACAACGGAUCUCUUGGCUCUCGCAUCGAUGAAGAACGCAGCGAAAUGCGAUAAGUAAUGUGAAUUGCAGAAUUCAGUGAAUCAUCGAAUCUUUGAACGCACCUUGCGCUCCAUGGUAUUCCGUGGAGCAUGCCUGUUUGAGUGUCAUGAAUACUUCAACCCUCCUCUUUCUUAAUGAUUGAAGAGGUGUUUGGUUUCUGAGCGCUGCUGGCCUUUACGGUCUAGCUCGUUCGUAAUGCAUUAGCAUCCGCAAUCGAACUUCGGAUUGACUUGGCGUAAUAGACUAUUCGCUGAGGAAUUCUAGUCUUCGGACUAGAGCCGGGUUGGGUUAAAGGAAGCUUCUAAUCAGAAUGUCUACAUUUUAAGAUUAGAUCUCAAAUCAGGUAGGACUACCCGCUGAACUUAAGCAUAUCAAUAAGCGGAGGAAAAGAAACUAACAAGGAUUCCCCUAGUAGCGGCGAGCGAAGCGGGAAGAGCUCAAAUUUAUAAUCUGGCACCUUCGGUGUCCGAGUUGUAAUCUCUAGAAAUGUUUUCCGCGUUGGACCGCACACAAGUCUGUUGGAAUACAGCGGCAUAGUGGUGAGACCCCCGUAUAUGGUGCGGACGCCCAGCGCUUUGUGAUACAUUUUCGAAGAGUCGAGUUGUUUGGGAAU